rnacentral:rRNA from 1 species
UAGUCAUAUGCUUGUCUCAAAGAUUAAGCCAUGCAUGUCUCAGUGUAAACUUUUAAACAGUGAAACUGCGAAUGGCUCAUUAAAACAGUUAUAGUUUAUUUGAUACUCAUUUUUACAUGGAUAACCGUGGGAAUUCUAGGGCUAAUACAUGCGUACCCGCAAGGGUUGUGUUUAUUAGAUUAAAACCAUCACUGCAGCAAUGUAGUCCAGUUGGAAUAAUAAUAACCGAACGAAUCGCACGCUUUAUGUGGCGAUAAAUCAUUCAAGUUUCUGACCU